AACGAACGCUGGCGGCAUGCCUAACACAUGCAAGUCGAACGAGACCUUCGGGUCUAGUGGCGCACGGGUGCGUAACGCGUGGGAACCUGCCCUUAGGUUCGGAAUAACUCCCCGAAAGGGGUGCUAAUACCGGAUAAUGUCUUCGGACCAAAGAUUUAUCGCCUUUGGAUGGGCCCGCGUUGGAUUAGCUAGUUGGUAGGGUAAAAGCCUACCAAGGCGACGAUCCAUAGCUGGUCUGAGAGGAUGGUCAGCCACACUGGGACUGAGACACGGCCCAGACUCCUACGGGAGGCAGCAGUGGGGAAUAUUGGACAGUGGGCGGAGGGCUGAUCCAGCAAUGCCGCGUGAGUGAUGAAGGCCUUAAGGUUGUAAAGCUCUUUUACCCGGGAUGAUAAUGACAGUACCGGGAGAAUAAGCUCCGGCUAACUCCGUG
rnacentral:rRNA from 1 species